UACGGGGGGAGCAAGCGUUGUUCGGAUUUACUGGGCGUAAAGGGCGCGUAGGCGGUCAGCACAAGUCAGUUGUGAAAUCUCCGGGCUUAACUCGGAAAGGUCAACUGAUACUGUGCGACUAGAGUGCAGAAGGGGCAACUGGAAUUCUCGGUGUAGCGGUGAAAUGCGUAGAUAUCGAGAGGAACACCUGCGACGAAGGCGGGUUGCUGGGCUGACACUGACGCUGAUGCGCGAAAGCCAGGGGAGCGAACGGG
rnacentral:rRNA from 1 species